GCUGCUACAGAAGCCGAUCACACCCUAGGGAAGCAGGCAGAGUGACCACCCCAGUUUUAUGAUAACAACUGUGAAGUUGGAUGGAAGAAAGUACUUAGCCUGGUCUCAGCCGGCAAGGAUGUUCAUAGGGAGCAGAAGGAAGUCUUGGUAUAUUACCGGUUCUAAGAAGGAGCCGCCUGCAGAUGAUCCAUCCCAUGAGGAUUGGGAAAGUAACAAUCUGACGGUUAUGUCUUGGCUUCUUCAUUCGAUGCAGCCCACAAUUAGCGUAGCGAGGGGUGUUCUUGAGGACAGCAAAGGAGAUAUGGGAUACAGUCCAAGAGAUGUAUUCUCAGAGAAAUUCUUUGGCACGAAAUUACCAACUGCAUCGGGAGAUUUCCACCAUGCAGCAAGGGGAGAUGCCCAUGGAAGAGUACUACGCGGCUCUGAAAAAGUGGGAGGAAUUAGAUCACUAUCAGCCCUUAGCGACCACAGUAGAAGGAAGGUAUUAGGAAAGAUAAUUCGUAGCGGAGAAUCUUCGAGUAUCUGGCCGGGCUUCGAUCUGAGUAUGAGCUUCAGAGCGUGCAGGUUCAAACUAGGGAAGGAUACUUGACCUUCCUUGGAAUCUGUUUACAUGAGGGGGUGAAGCAAGUCGUCGUGCUAUGAGUGGUGGGUUCUAAUAUUUCAGAGAGGUCCGCACUGGUAGCUGAUUCUAGACCGUACAGAGGGAACCAGAGUUCUGGUAAGGGCCAGACCGGGACCCCAUGUCUUCUGCAGAUAGAGAGAAGCUCCGUUGCACUCAUUGUGGCAAAUGGGGGCGCAGGCAUCUCUUAGAGGUCACUUGUUCCAUCAUGCAUGAUAGGGAUGAAGGUUCCUAAGAUCUAUUGGGAUGAGGCUGUUCUAACAGCCACCUAUAUGAUCAACAGAAUGCCG